rnacentral:rRNA from 1 species
GACGAACGCUGGCGGCGUGCUUAACACAUGCAAGUCGAACGGAAAGGCCCUGCUUUUGUGGGGUGCUCGAGUGGCGAACGGGUGAGUAACACGUGAGUAACCUGCCCUUGACUUUGGGAUAGCUUCAGGAAACUGGGGCUAAUACCGGAUAGGAGCUCCUGCUGCAUGGUGGGGUUGGAAAGUUUCGGCGGUUGGGGAUGGACCUGCGGCUUAUCAGCUUGUUGGUGGGGUAGUGGCUUACCAAGGCUUUGACGGGUAGCCGGCCUGAGAGGGUGACCGGCCACAUUGGGACUGAGAUACGGCCCAGACUCCUACGGGAGGCAGCAGUGGGGAAUAUUGCACAAUGGGCGGAAGCCUGAUGCAGCAACGCCGCGUGCGGGAUGACGGCCUUCGGGUUGUAAACCGCUUUCGCCUGUGACGAAGCGUGAGUGACGGUAAUGGGUAAAGAAGCACCGGCUAACUACGUG